rnacentral:rRNA from 1 species
CCUACGGGCUGCAGCAGUGGGGAAUAUUGGACAAUGGGCGAAAGCCUGAUCCAGCCAUGCCGCGUGUGUGAAGAAGGCCUUCGGGUUGUAAAGCACUUUCAGUGGGGAAGAAAGCCUUGGGGCUAAUACCCUCGAGGAAGGACAUCACCCACAGAAGAAGCACCGGCUAACUCCGUGCCAGCAGCCGCGGUAAUACGGAGGGUGCGAGCGUUAAUCGGAAUUACUGGGCGUAAAGCGCGCGUAGGCGGUCUGAUAAGCCGGUUGUGAAAGCCCCGGGCUCAACCUGGGAACGGCAUCCGGAACUGGCAGGCUAGAGUGCAGGAGAGGAAGGUAGAAUUCCCGGUGUAGCGGUGAAAUGCGUAGAGAUCGGGAGGAAUACCAGUGGCGAAGGCGGCCUUCUGGACUGACACUGACGCUGAGGUGCGAAAGCGUGGGUAGCAAACAGGAUUAGAUACCCUUGUAGUC